rnacentral:rRNA from 1 species
ACGGGUAGCCGGCCUGAGAGGGCGACCGGCCACACUGGGACUGAGACACGGCCCAGACUCCUACGGGAGGCAGCAGUGGGGAAUAUUGCGCAAUGGGCGAAAGCCUGACGCAGCGACGCCGCGUGAGGGAUGAAGGCCUUCGGGUUGUAAACCUCUUUCAGCAGGGACGAAGCGAAAGUGACUGUACCUGCAGAAGAAGCACCGGCUAACUACGUGCCAGCAGCCGCGGUAAUACGUAGGGUGCAAGCGUUGUCCGGAAUUAUUGGGCGUAAAGAGCUCGUAGGCGGUUUGUCGCGUCGGAUGUGAAAACUUGGGGCUCAACCCCGAGCCUGCAUUCGAUACGGGCAAACUAGAGUUCGGUAGGGGA